UAUGGUACUUAGAUGCCUGCCAUGGAGGCCUUUAAGCUUGCGUAGAUGGUGCCCUGUGGAGUCAUAGUGGGUGCAGCAACUCAAUUCAUGCUGUGUAGACUUGUGAGCUGCAAGCAGCUUCUCAGUUCAAAUCAGGUAAGCGGCCCUGAGAGGACAAUGCAUGCUUUGCAUGACCCAGCAAGUAUGGAGAUCUCUAAGCCUUUGCAUGCACUGAUGACACCACUGGUGUGCCAGGGACCAGAGACUUUGGGUAAGAUUAGUACAUGACCUGACAGAUGCUAGUAAGUGCCCUGUUUUGUCGCGAAUCCACCAAGCUUUCAAAUUCCAUGGAAUAUUCUCCAGAUUUAUCUUGGAUGGGCUCACUCAUCUCCAAUUUCAUCUUGACAUCUUAACUUUUUCUGUGGUUUCCUUUCUUCCUAAUUGUUCAAACAUAUUGAUAAAAAGCUAGAAAGUUGCUUUAAUGUAUAUUGUUCCAAGAACUUUAAAUUCCAGGAAUCAUCUCAUACUCAGCCAAAUUAUUUGUGCAGUGUGGAAUUGAAGAAAAAAAAAAUCAUGCAAGCAGCUAAGACUGAAUGAAGCGGCUUCUGUGUGCAGCCGAUCUUGAGGGAUCCUGAUUUGAAACCUCUGGGCUAAUGGAAGUACCACAUGUCUUGGCUGGAGUUAGCAGGUGUAUGCUUGGCUGGUGUGGCCAGGAAGCAGAACUGAGGACCCAAACAGGGGGAACCGAAGGUGAAAGCACUGAAGGUGGCUAGGGAAACAGAAUGGAAAUACGGAACUGUAACUAAGGAAGCACCCCUGUGGAUGAUCAGAGAGUGGCUGUGUGCAGUCUUCAUUGCUCGUUCAAAUAUGAAGAUCUUGAGAGAGCUGCAGGUACAGAGAAUCUACAUGCACAGCCCUUAACACAAUAUUUAGGACACAACAUUAUUCGAAAUGAUGACCAUGAUUUCACAGCAAACCAACCAACAAGCAAACAGUGAACCAGGCAAAGAGAACAGAAAGGCACAGGAAUAGAACUGCCUGCAUACAACAUCCAAAAUGUCUUGUGGUUAGUGCAAGAUUUCUGUCUGUACCGUUUUUGUUUUUUGUAAUGCUCUAUCCAGGGAUUACACCACUCCAAGUUCCAACUCAACUCAAGUUUAGUUUCAAAGUAACAUGAAUUUGAUUUUUAGCAAACUAAGGUUAAAGAAAAACAGGUUAACUGUGCACAAGUAAUCAUGCACUAGAGUUGUCAACCAUUUUCCUGUUCAACAGCUUCUGCAUCAAAGUUAAAUGCCUAGCUGUUUUUUAAAAAAUCUGAGAGGUAUAUAGGUAUAAAGACCUGGAGUAGGGAAGUCAGCAUGUAGGUUGAUGAAAGGAAAAAAACCAACUGAAAAACUACGUGAACACACCCACACUUUGGACCAUGGACAAUUUCUGCUUUUUAAAAGUGAAAAUGAUUUUUGACAACCUUGUUCUUUUGUAUUGUGACAAUAUCCAAAUAAAUUUUUA